rnacentral:rRNA from 1 species
UACGAAGGGGGCUAGCGUUGCUCGGAUUGACUGGGCGUAAAGGGCGCGUAGGCGGUUCGUACAGUCAGACGUGAAAUUCCUGGGCUCAACCUGAGGGCUGCGUUUGAUACGUGCGGACUUGAGUGCGGAAGAGGGUCGUGGAAUUCCCAGUGUAGAGGUGAAAUUCGUAGAUAUUGGGAAGAACACCGGUGGCGAAGGCGGCGACCUGGUCCGAUACUGACGCUGAGGCGCGAAAGCGUGGGGAGCAAACAGG